rnacentral:rRNA from 1 species
CCUACGGGAGGCAGCAGUGAGGAAUAUUGGUCAAUGGACGAGAGUCUGAACCAGCCAAGUAGCGUGAAGGAUGACUGCCCUAUGGGUUGUAAACUUCUUUUAUAUGGGAAUAAAAUGUUCCACGUGUGGGAUUUUGUAUGUACCAUAUGAAUAAGGAUCGGCUAACUCCGUGCCAGCAGCCGCGGUAAUACGGAGGAUCCGAGCGUUAUCCGGAUUUAUUGGGUUUAAAGGGUGCGUAGGUGGAUUGUUAAGUCAGUUGUGAAAGUUUGCGGCUCAACCGUAAAAUUGCAGUUGAAACUGGCAGGCUUGAGGACAGUAGAGGUGGGCGGAAUUCGUGGUGUAGCGGUGAAAUGCUUAGAUAUCACGAAGAACUCCGAUUGCGAAGGCAGCUCACUGGACUGCAACUGACGCUGAGGCUCGAAAGUGUGGGUAUCAAACAGGAUUAGAUACCCUGGUAGUC